UGAUAGGAGGUUUCUAUAGUCUGUAACAUGGUAACUCACCAUCAGGUUGUUAGGAGGUUUCUAUAGUCUGUAACAUGGUAACUCACCAUCAGGUUGAUAGGAGGUUUCUAUAGUCUGUAACAUGGUAACUCACCAUCAGGUUGUUAGGAGGUUUCUAUAGUCUGUAACAUGGUAACUCACCAUCAG